rnacentral:rRNA from 3 species
GGACUACUCGGGUUUCUAAUCCCGUUUGCUCCCCUGGCUUUCGCGCCUCAGCGUCAGAAGAGGUCCAGCGGGUCGCUUUCGCCACCGGCGUUCCUUCCGAUAUCAACGCAUUUCACCGCUCCACCGGAAGUUCCACCCGCCCCUACCUCCCUCCAGACCAGCAGUAUCCAAGGCACUUUUCCGGUUAAGCCGAAAGAUUUCACCCUGGACUUGCUGACCCGCCUACGCGCCCUUUAAGCCCAGUGAUUCCGAACAACGUUCGCACGGUUCGUCUUACCGCGGCUGCUGGCAC